rnacentral:rRNA from 1 species
AUUGCCCUAGUAACGGCGAGUGAAGCGGCAACAGCUCAAAUUUGAAAUCUGGCCUUCGGGUCCGAGUUGUAAUUUGUAGAGGAUGCUUUUGGUGCGGUGCCUUCCGAGUUCCCUGGAACGGGACGCCAUAGAGGGUGAGAGCCCCGUCUGGUUGGAUACCAAUCCUCUGUAAAGCUCCUUCGACGAGUCGAGUAGUUUGGGAAUGCUGCUCUAAAUGGGAGGUAUAUGUCUUCUAAAGCUAAAUACCGGCCAGAGACCGAUAGCGCACAAGUAGAGUGAUCGAAAGAUGAAAAGCACUUUGAAAAGAGGGUUAAACAGUACGUGAAAUUGUUGAAAGGGAAGCGCUUGUGACCAGACUUGGGCAUGGUUAAUCAUCCAGCGUUCUCGCUGGUGCACUUGGCCUGCCCAGGCCAGCAUCAGUUCGGUGUGGGGGAUAAAGGCUUCGGGAAUGUGGCUCCUCCGGGAGUGUUAUAGCCCGUUGUGCAAUACCCUGCGCUGGACUGAGGUUCGCGCAUCUGCAUGGAUGCUGGCGUAAUGGUCAUCAGCGACCCGUCUUGAAACACGGACCAAGGAGUCGUCCUCGUAUGCGAGUGUUCGGGUGUUAAACCCCUACGCGUAAUGAAAGUGAACGCAGGUGAGAGCUUCGGCGCAUCAUCGACCGAUCCUGAUGUUCUCGGAUGGAUUUGAGUAAGAGCAUACGGGGCCGGACCCGAAAGAAGGUGAACUAUGCCUGUAUAGGGUGAAGCCAGAGGAAACUCUGGUGGAGGCUCGCAGCGGUUCUGACGUGCAAAUCGAUCGUCAAAUAUGGGCAUGGGGGCGAAAGACUAAU